rnacentral:lncRNA from 1 species
UGAGACAUGGGUGUGUGCAAAUAGAAUUAGUGCCAGCUCCUGGGGUUAUGCUGAGGGUGUAGGCCUCUGAGCUGUGGUGCCAGCUCCUGGAGCAAGCGGAGGUCCUUGUGUCAUUAACUGGGGGUGACCAUAGCCCUCUGGAUCUAGGAAGGAUCCUACAGACAUUGUGCUUGGAGUGCUACUGGGGGGGACUGGUGUGCCUUGGCUACAGAUCUCAGUUUAUGUUCUGCUUAAGGAGCAGGAUAUCUGGCAGUACUUUCCCAGAGGAUUUAAUUGAGAAAUCACACUGUGACAUACAGACAGUUUUUGGAAAAGCCUACAGCAAAGAACUGUGUCAGAGUACUGCUGGCCUUCAAUAUCUCCGCAUCUCAAACAAUGCUGGAAAUGAGUUGUACUUCACUACAGAGGCUAAUAGUGUUAUAACAGUAAUCACUUCAAGAAUAGUAUUUACCAUCUACCAAGAGAAAGCUGAGUCUGAAGAUACCUAACCAGGCUGAUGGCAGAAGAAACAGAUGGCCUAGAUGGGAGCUGGAGGAACCUUCAUCACUGCAGCUUCAGAUAAAAACAGUGCAUGGAAGAAGAGGCUGAAAAACUAAAAUAUUUCAGUGAAACUGGGAAAACUUCUGCUCAUUGAAUAAUUUCCUUAAAUAAUCUGUUCUCCAAGUACUGCUUUUUAGUACAGAAACUUCUGAUAGCUCAUUACCUUGAGUAAGUUUUACAUAUCCUUGCUGAGCCUUUCUGAUGCGUUCCUUGUUGCCAACUCCCUUUGAUCUUCAGGAUAUGCAUGCUCCACCUUGCACCCACAGCACAAAGUUCUGUAGUGUGAAUCUUCUCCAAGAAGAGUUAGUCUCCUGCACACCUCAGCAGACAAGAAAACAAGAAUAGCUUUUCUUCUGCUGACCAACUCUUGUCUUACAAAAGAUGCAAAAACUGUUGUCUUAAGUAAGAGUCUGAGUGCUGAGAUUUAUAGUUUAAAAUCCAAUGUAUAUAUUAAAUACUUAGUUAAAUUAUAGAUAAAGGAGUACAGCCUUUAAGAGAUCAAAAUUAAUCCAUAUUCUUUAUCAGCACUGCCAGAGCCUCUGAUGGAGAUAUUAUAUCCUGAUUUGGGCACCAUGUUUUAAAGGAAGACUGGAGGGAUUCUUCAGGAAAGAAUAGAACAAUCAGAAAUACAAAACAUGAGGAAAGUGUGAAAGAAGAGUUGAGAAACUGGAGAAAGGACUUUGUGUCAAGGAGGGGAGAGGAAAAAGGAGGACAUAACUUGUGUUGUAUGUGUUAAAGAAUCUUGCAAACAAGCUGUUCUCUAUGUACCUAAUAGAUAGGACAAAUGGAAAUGGUGUUAAAACAUAUAAGAAAGAUUCACUUUAAAAGUAUAUUGCUUACUGACUUGCUGAACCUUCAUUACCAAAGAUUUUCAGGAAUGAAUUAGGAAUGGCACAGUUAGAGUUCUCCUGGUCUCGAGCACAAAGGGUGCUCUUCCAAGGUGCCACUGGUGACCUUCCAAGGAAGAUUUUUCUGGCAAUAAAAACACGUUCCUGUCCCUGGGCA